GGUCGGACGUCGACCGUUUACGACCCUUAACUACGGACUAAGGGUCCGAAAACGGGUCGAACGGUACGACGGGGGCAACCCUGGUGGCGAGUGGCGAACGGGUGAGUAAUAUAUCGGAACGUACCCGGAAAUGGGGGAUAACGUAGCGAAAGUUACGCUAAUACCGCAUAUGCCCUAAGGGGGAAAGCGGGGGAUUCGCAAGAACCUCGCGUUUUCGGAGCGGCCGAUAUCGGAUUAGCUAGUAGGUGAGGUAAAGGCUCACCUAGGCGACGAUCCGUAGCUGGUCUGAGAGGACGACCAGCCACACUGGAACUGAGACACGGUCCAGACUCCUACGGGAGGCAGCAGUGGGGAAUUUUGGACAAUGGGCGCAAGCCUGAUCCAGCCAUGCCGCGUGAGUGAAGAAGGCCUUCGGGUUGUAAAGCUCUUUCAGCCGGAAAGAAAACGCACGGGUUAAUAACCUGUGUGGAUGACGGUACCGGAAGAAGAAGCACCGGCUAACUACGUG
rnacentral:rRNA from 1 species